AUGGCGGAGGAACCGUCUGCCAAGCGUCAUCAUGGCGAGACGUCGGACAAGAGCAGCAACCUCGUCGACGUUCACGUCCCCGGCGAGAAGCGCGAGUACACCAAAACCCUCAUAGGGGUUGAGCUCCACGGCAAGGAGACGCUGGAGAUCAUCUGCACCAGCGAACCAGACAAGGCCGACGAGAUGAUCUCGAAGCUCUGGAGGAAGGUUGGUGGCUCGCAUCGUAGGAUCGUCGGCGUUGGUGUGCACUACACCAGCGAAGACGAACCUCCCCAGAUGGCAGCAGUCCUGCAGUUGUGCGUCGAGGAACUCUGCUUGGUGUACCACAUCACAGCGGCCGCAAAAUGGUGA
rnacentral:rRNA from 1 species